ACGGUAAUCAACGUGUAAUCUUUAGACAAUGCAUGUUUUGCCUGAUCGGUGACAGCCGCUCUACACCCGUUACUAACCCGUUACACCCUACUUAAAGUAAUACAAAUCGAAAGUUAUCAUAUCCACAUUAUACGACGGUAUUAAAGACAUCCAGUUUCCAAUGACGUUGACUAAAAUUAAAAAAUUUAAAAAUCACAUCGACAUCUCCAUCAACGUGUACGGUUUCGAGAAGCAAAAAGAAAUGACGAUUCUUUAUUUACGGCUCACCGAUAUGAAGACGGACAAGCACGUCAAUUUGCUUUAUGUGUAGGAUCUAUAGAACAAUAACGUGGAGCAUUUUGCAUGGAUCAAAGAUCUGUCCUGCCUUGUAAGCUCGCAACUCAGCAAAAAAGAAUGCUUACAUUAUUUUAGCUUGAAUGCAAAAUUGAAGAUCCACGCAAUAGACUGCGAAAAACUAAACGACUGUGCCAUCAGGUUACCGAGCGAAGACGACAAGUGGUUGAGCUUCGAGAACUACAUCAGGAAGGAACGUGUCUCGUUCAUAGUCUACGUCGACUUGGAAUGCAUCCUGGAAAAAACGGAGAGGGAUAUAGAAACGUCCAUCUACACGUACCAACAUCAUCGGGACGUUCAGCUUCGGGACAUAAAGAUACGGGGAUUCAUUAACAUAAUAAAUCACCGGCGAAGUGUUUGAUUGUCGAGACAGCUACUUGAUAAGCUCUGGGAGGAGUACCCAGAAGAUAAUUUAAAUUGGGUGUCUUUCGACAUAUUUGACCUCCACUACUUAUUCGAACUUCGUCCAUAUGAAGUCAACGAUCCCGAGGAAAUGUGGGAUUAACGACAGAAAAAACGAAGAACAGUGACAACAUCUUUUUAUAAACAAGUUCUUUUUUAUAAAUACUUAAUAACACCAACAC